CUCAACUGAGUCAUUGUCAACAUCCCACAGUGCAAGAGGAGGUGGGGUAACACCUGAAGAAGAGGAAAAACACUGUUACAGACAGGAACGUUCCCCAUGCUGACAAGGCACCAGAAAGGCACACAGCAGCACCACCAGCAUGGCACAGACCAGAGGCACCAGGAAAAACGCUGCCCGGAUGGCUCCCCUCACCUUAGCCCUUUUCCCGUCCGGGUCAGCACUGGCACCCAAUCCAGGGCCACCAGAGGCCCCAAGCCCCCCUCCAUCAUCUACUCCCUCAUCCCUGUUUGUCUCCCUCUGGCUCCAGUACUGCAUGCCCUUCUCCUCUCUCUCCUGCCUCUUUUUUCCAGGGAGCCGUUCUCUCCACUCAUCGUCAGCCUCCUCUUCCUCCUCUGCCUCCUCUUCAUCCCCUACGAGCCUCCCUGUUCUGCUCCCUCUCAGCUCUGAGGUACCUGUACCCAUGCAGUUGCCCCUCCCCAGGCCAUUGCGGGGAUAGUUGAGGACCAGGUCGUCCUCCUCGCUCUCGUCCUCACUGUCGGCCUGAGUGAGGGGGUCAUACUCUCCAAGCUCCGAGCCCUUCUUCCCUGUAAGGGACAUACACACAAAGACACACACGGUUAACCUUUUACUGCAGUGGGCUAAAUCAGGGUCACACAGAGUGUUUCUUGGUAGUCUUAAACAAAUCUACUUUGAAACAAAAGUAUCCACCUGACUCACAUGAUUAUGGGCUUAAAAAUAAAUGUCAGAUAUAGAGUUGAAAUGUAUUACAUUUCGAGUUUGCAUCCCCAUAUUACACUUAAUAUAUAUCACAGAAGACUGAAAUAUAACAAAAACUUAUGACAUAGAAACACCAGAUAAUGUUUAUUAAUUAUGACAUUCUGAAAAAUAUUAAUAACAUUCCACCCUUGAGGCCACUAGCGCUCGAUUUGGUCAUUUGACUGCAGGUCAGAGGUCUACGGAUCUGUUCAGGAAACAAGGCCAAGGUGAAAACUAGAAUGAUCUGAUAGAGCAUGGUGGUGCCUGAUAGAACGACAAGCAUCCCAAAAGGACAGGGAAGUUACUCAAACAUUGUUUAUUUUAACACCAAAUGAAUUAUGUUCUACCCUGGUCCCAGAUCUGUUUGUACUCUUGCCGACUCUAUUGUUCAUUGUUUGGCAUGACCAUGAUUGCCAAGUUAAAUGAAUGACCCCCAUUACAUGGCCUUAUUUGUAGUUAUUUGUUGAACACGAGAUUUAAGCAAGUAGCUAAAUCCGUUAUAGCAUUAUUAUGACAGUGAGCACUGAGCAAUCAAGCGACUUCGAUGAGGCACCUUACUGUACUGUACAGUAGCUAGCUACUGCGCCACAUAGGAUUGUGAAUGAUGCAAUGUUUUUCUAUUAAAGCUUGAAAAGAAACGAAAUAUCAAACAUUGAAAAUAAGUAUCGUAUUUCAUCUCUCAAUUCUGGACUGUCAUUAAACAAAUAAAAACAUUA